UUCGGAUAUUACCCGUUCGGGUUCGGAUAUCCAAUCUCUCCUAAUUCAAUACCCGUUCGGAUAUUUUGCUACUUCGGUUCGGAUUUCGGUUCGGGUUUUUCGGAUCGGGUUCGGGUGCCACUUCGGAUUUCGGGUAAAAUGCCUACUACUUUAUGUUUUUUUUCUUUUUUUUCCGUAAACUCAUUCUCUAAACAUUAUUUAAAUUUUGAUUUACAUAUGUCAUGGUUCAUUUUAACAAAAAUUGACAAGGCUUCAAUUUAACUGGUACACGUAUAAUUCUAUUUUUUAAUAAAAUUUAUAUUUUUGACAAAAAAGUUUUAAAUAUGAUAAUGAGUUUGACUGAUAUAUCACCAUUAAAGUAUCAUUUCUUAACAAAUAAUUAUUUUUGACAAAAAAAUUAAAUAUAUUAAUAAAUAAUAAUUCAUAUAUCUUCAUUGAAACUAUAUAUAUCACAUUAAUUACAAACAAACUAAUUAUAAAUAUAAUUUUGAGUAACUUUUUUUUAAAGAAGAGUUUAUACUCUAAGAUUUUUUUCAAGAGAUAAUUGGGUCAAUAUACUCCAAUCGCUAGAAAAUUAAAAAAGUACCCAAAAACAAAAAGAACUUGUUGGGCCCGUACCUUUUUGCGUCCCCCUUUCCAAAAAUGCCCUUAUCGCCUCGAGACGUGCGGCGAGUAGGUGAAAAGUUGCGAGUCAGCGUGAUCUUCAGAAGUGCAAACAAAAGAUACUAUUCUGAUAUAGCUUUCCGGCUGACAUCUUUUCGAGCGACCGGUUUCUUUAGGUUACUCUGUCAAGUACAAACGGAUCGAAACAAAAGCCCCUGGAAACAUCUGUGGAUCGUAAAAAUGGGGGGGGGGGGGAAUUACAGGUUAUCCGAAUUUUUUUUGGGAUUUUGGUAGUGUAUUUAAUGGAGGUCUGGGAAAACAUAAAUGUAAAGCAUAAUCGAUAGAGAGAGAAAGAAACAUGUUAGAGUGAGAUUGCUCUAGUGGCGAAGAUCCUUUUACAGUAGUCGUUAUCCCUUUGUGUUCGAGGUAUGUCUCUAAUAUUUUUUAGAUUUUACUUUCUGCAUUAAAUUUCUUAACUGCAAACAAGUUUGAUACUACGAAAUAGGUGUUUUGGUCCAUUGACAUUUAUUUUGACUGUCAUAACUAUCACAGUAUUUUAAUUCCAGUGACAAGCAUCUCAAAUGUCACAUUCCCCACGGAUAUUUCAGAAAAAAUUUCCUACUUGCGUAUCAUCUCCACAUGCUCAGGGAUAAUCCGAGGAAAGUGUGAUGUCGGGAUUAAAACACAAGAGUUUAUCUUCGGAAUCUUGCUGCAAUUGAGGCUGGUGACUUGUGCGAACUCGUGCAUUGACAUCCUGAGCGGCUUUCAGAGAAGAGAAACCAAGUCUUGUACUUUUUUCACGUGGAGGAUUCGGACAAUCACGAACUGGCCGAACCUUCCUGAAAAUGAAGGAUUAUCUGCUAGUGAAAUGAUCUUCCCAAACAUCGUCUGCUGCAGGAAGUGAACCUCUUCUGGCUCGAGCGCAUCUAAUAUAGAUUCAAUUCUCUUCAGUUUGUGGUAAGUGUUUACUCUAUCUCCGGAUGGUUCUUCACCAGCUACAAACAUCCGUUCAUGCAGUAUUGCUUGCUCCAUAGUGUCGCUCGGAGAUAAAGAAAGCGUCUUGUUUCUCUAAAGAAAUAAAAGUAGGUCUGGAGAAAUGAAGAUGCAAAAAUUGGAAAAGAGUGCUAUUUCAAAAGGAUCCCUUACACGUAAAUGUAAAAGCUGACUUUUCAUUUACCCUUUUCGUCAUUAAAGUAAAAAUAUUAGAAAUAAUCUAGAGAAGCCUCGAAACCUUAAGUGACAUGCCGUGUAAUAGUGUGUUCUACUAAUAGGGUCUGACACCAAGGCGGUGAAGACUAAAAGAUAAGCGUGUUAGGAUGUAGGGGCGAAAUGGUAUUAAAAUAAAAUAGAUCAAUAGGGUGGCAUUUGGCAAAUUUCGAAUAUUUCCGUAUACAUACAUCAUAAUUUCUCUUUUUCAAACGGGUUCUCAUUUCUAAGAGGAAAAGAAAAGGAUUAUUUUUAUGAUGUACUAGAUAUAUAUAUAUAGAUAUGGUUCUGUAAGUUGCACAUCUGUUAUUUGUUAUAUUAGUUUUAAAAAUUACUAUCAAAUAGAUUUUAAAAUUUUAUUUUUAUUAGGAUUUUAUAAAAUAAAAAUAUUAAAAAAAUCUUUUUGUUUAGGAUUUAAAAAAAUGGAAAAUUACUAUCAAAUUUUCUUUUACAGUUUUUAAGGGAUUUUAGAAAAGUAAAUUACUAUCACAUAAUCUUUUGCAAUUAUAUUUUUUUAGAAUUUUAGAAAAAAAAUUACUAUCAAAUACUUAUUUCCAAUUAAUAUUAAAUAAUUUUACAAUUUUACAAUUUGAUAAUUUAUUUUUGUUAAUAUCAAGAUUAUUUUAGGCUAUACUUUUAAAAAAAAAUAUCAUUUCUCUUUUAGUUAGGAUUUAAAAGGGAAAAUUUCUAAUUUUUUUAAGAUUUUAAAGCAGAAAAUUAUUAUCAUAUAAUUGUAUGUUAUUAUUGUCACAUGUAACAAUUUUUUAUUAAUAUAUCUCACGAUCAUGUUAAUUAAAAAGCUUAGAAAAACAAAAUUUUGAUUAUCCUCGAUAAAAGAAAAUCCGUGAGAUCUAAGAGGCUAAAUUUUUUUUUUUUUUUUUUUUCUAAGAGGCUAAAUUACAUAAGACUAAUCUGAGACACACGUAAUAGAAUGUUGACUGAAGAAUGAUCUUGACUUGGGAUCAUAGAAAAUUAAACAGAGGCUAAAUUACUUAUUUUCACAUACGUAAACAACUUUCAAACUUUACGUUUCAAAUUUACACUACGUCAUUACCUAUGGUUUGAUCUGAAACAAAUUCAAACUAUUAAAAAAAAAAAUAGGAAGCCGAAAGAGAAAGAAAAAGAUAACAAUUAGAAUUCUUCCAGAGGAGACCGGAGAAAAACUAGAA